UACGAAGGAUGCGAGCGUUAUCCGGAUUUAUUGGGUUUAAAGGGAGCGUAGGCGGUCUUAUAAGUCAGUGGUGAAAUCUCGAUGCUUAACAUCGAACGUGCCAUUGAUACUGUAGGACUUGAGCACAGUUGCCGUUGGCGGAAUGUGUCAUGUAGCGGUGAAAUGCAUAGAUAUGACACAGAACACCGAUUGCGAAGGCAGCUGACGAAACUGUAACUGACGCUGAGGCUCGAAAGCGUGGGGAUCAAACAGG
rnacentral:rRNA from 1 species